GAUGAACGCUGGCGGCGUGCCUAAUACAUGCAAGUCGAGCGAACAGACGAGAGUGCUUGCACUCUCUGACGUUAGCGGCGGACGGGUGAGUAACACGUGGGUAACCUACCUAUAAGACUGGGAUAACUUCGGGAAACCGGAGCUAAUACCGGAUAAUAUUUAGCUUCGCAUGAAGCAAUAGUGAAAGACGGUUCUGCUGUCACUUAUAGAUGGACCCGCGGUGUAUUAGCUAGUUGGUGAGGUAACGGCUCACCAAGGCAACGAUACAUAGCCGACCUGAGAGGGUGAUCGGCCACACUGGGACUGAGAAACGGCCCAGACUCCUACGGGAGGCAGCAGUAGGGAAUCUUCCGCAAUGGACGAAAGCCUGACGGAGCAAUGCCGCGUGAGUGAAGAAGGUUUUCGGAUCGUAAAACUCUGUUGUAAGGGAAGAACAAGUACGUUAGUAACUGAACGUACCUUGACGGUACCUUACCAGAAAGCCACGGCUAACUACGUG
rnacentral:rRNA from 1 species